CCAAGGUGAGCUGGCGAGCAGUGGAAGCUAAUCCCCGUUAUCGUUCCCACCGCUUCUCUUCCGAUUAGGCUACAGGGAAGAGGAGCCCGGGAAGGUAGGCUGCUCAGUGCCUAUAGGAGGAGGAAGAGUGGAGGAGGCGAGAGGGAGCGAGAAGAAAGAAAAGCAUACAGAGCAUCCAUAAAGUAUGAAUAAAAUUAAUGACAUCACGAGCUGCACUUUGGAAGAGCCACUGUAGGAAAAAGGCCAUACAUCAUGGGGCAGAAGGAGCUGGGCCGAGGAAAAAGAGUUCAAAAAAUUGAGCGAGAAAGAAAGAAAGUUUGCCUUUUCAGCCCUCACAUUGACACCGUUUUCCAGACUGCUCCAUCAUCGCAGACAUCAAAUCCUCCCCUCUUCAGUGAGAGAAGAAAGGAGAAAGAGAAACACACGCAGUUUCAUUUGAAUAUACACCAGCAACACCCUCACGAAAUUCAGACAAAAAAAAAAACAAAAGCACAAACAUUGUGAUGCGCAAACAGACGGAGACAAGGCACAAACUUGAACACACACACACACACACAGACACACAAAAACUAACCUCCCAGACACACAGCACAUACUGACAGACAAACACACAAAGAAACAGCAAACACAAAGCACAGCACAGCCAGAAGUCUACUUUAUGCAGAAAUAUUCUAAAAUGUGUUUUACAAUACAAUUAAACAUCAAAG